UACGUAGGGGGCAAGCGUUGUCCGGAAUCAUUGGGCGUAAAGAGCGUGUAGGCGGCUCGGUAAGUCCGCUGUGAAAGUCCAGGGCUCAACCCUGGAAUGCCGGUGGAAACUGUCGAGCUAGAGUCCGGAAGAGGCGAGUGGAAUUCCUGGUGUAGCGGUGAAAUGCGCAGAUAUCAGGAGGAACACCAAUGGCGAAGGCAGUGUUCUGGGCCAGUACUGACGCUGAGGAGCGAAAGCGUGGGUAGCAAACAGG
rnacentral:rRNA from 1 species